rnacentral:rRNA from 1 species
UACGGAGGGUGCGAGCGUUAAUCGGAAUUACUGGGCGUAAAGCGCGCGUAGGCGGUUGAUUAAGUUGGAUGUGAAAGCCCAGGGCUCAACCUUGGAAUUGCAUCCAAAACUGGCCGACUAGAGUAUGUGAGAGGGAAGUGGAAUUUCAGGUGUAGCGGUGAAAUGCGUAGAGAUCUGAAAGAACACCGAUGGCGAAGGCAACUUCCUGGCACAAUACUGACACUGAGGAACGAAAGCGUGGGGAGCAAACGGG